rnacentral:rRNA from 1 species
GCGUUGUUCGGAAUUACUGGGCGUAAAGGGCUCGUAGGUGGCCAACUAAGUCAUACGUGAAAUCCCUCGGCUUAACCGGGGAACUGCGUCUGAUACUGGAUGGCUUGAGGUUGGGAGAGGGAUGCGGAAUUCCAGGUGUAGCGGUGAAAUGCGUAGAUAUCUGGAGGAACACCGGUGGCGAAGGCGGCAUCCUGGACCAAUUCUGACACUGAGGAGCGAAAGCCAGGGGAGCAAACGGG